UAUAUGAUAGACCAGACCCUCCAAUGUACCAGCGAGGAAGGAUUUGCUUUGCCUCUCGUUUCCCAGGCUGCCGCUUUCUACACUUCUGAGAGUCAGGAAAAGCAGCCCAAGCAAUGUAACAAAGCUUCUACCAGUCGGCACAAGCAGAUGAGACUGCGUGCCAUUGUUUCUCAGAACCCUGACAGCAGCCAAUAACACACAGCCUCACUUCUGGACAAAUGUUAGCUGUGGAAUUCUGGCCAAAUAAUGACUAAGGGAAUUUUGUUACAACCCCCCGCCCCGUUCCUGUCCACUCCAUCCUGGUCCUAGUUGGAUCCAACAGCUCAGAUUUGGGAGUACUGAUCUAGAACGGCUUUUUGCCUCAAAAGGACCAUUUUCCUUCUUCAUUUCUUCCUGGCAUUUCAUUUUGGACAGAUGAGGAACAAAGGUAUGUGGCUAGGCGGACAGGAGACAGAGAGAAAAAAGCAUGUCGAUGGAAGGAAGAGGGAUGAAGAAGAAAAGGAUAUAAGGAAAAAGUGAAUUCCAUGAGGGAGGGGCCUGUUUUAAUUUUUGGCUUUAAUUUCCAGUGCCUAGCUAUGGUGCCUGCUGAAUGGUAGGUACUUAGUAAAUGUUUGCUGAUAUUCUCUAAGACUUAAGCCCUUCAUGAGUUGUAUGAUUUUUUACAUUCAUUGCUUACCAACCUUUUCUUAAUCUUCCCCUAGAAAGCCUUAGCCUAAUAUCCUUAUUAAACCAGCAGAAGGCAAGCAUGCUUCAAAUGAACUACAGUACGACAUCCAACAAACUUUUCCUCCCCAGCCAACCUUAAAGAUGCAGAUCUAAAUUGAA